AACGCACAUUGCGCCCAUUAGUAUUCUAGUGGGCAUGCCUGUUCGAGCGUCAUUACGACCCUUAAGCCUCAGUUGCUUAGUGUUGGGGGCUCGCCGUAAAUGGCGACCCCUUAAAGACAUUGGCGGAGUCGAGAUGGAACUCUGAGCGUAGUAAAUCUUUUCUCGCUUUUGAAGUCCUCACGUCCCCAGCCGUUAAACCAUAUGACCUAGUCAUCUAGUGGUUGACCUCGGAUCAGGUAGGAAUACCCGCUGAACUUAA
rnacentral:misc_RNA from 1 species